rnacentral:lncRNA from 1 species
UUUCCUCCUUUGAUCAGCACAUUCAACUGGUGCAAUGCAGGGAUGGAAAGGAAGGCAAGAAAUGGAGCCCCUGAGUUUCUGGCAGUUACAGUCAGGGCCCUCUGCUGAAAGAAGCAUCAUGGAAACCUGGACACACAUGAGAACCGGCCUUCCACACAGGCAAGAAGCAGAAACUGAGGCUCCUCCUUCUCCAUCAUGAGGAAUGUCUUCUGGAAGGCCCUCUGUUGACCUCUCUUGAGAGAUGGCUUUGGUCUGGGUCACCCU